rnacentral:rRNA from 1 species
AUACGGGGGGUGCAAGCGUUGUUCGGAUUUACUGGGCGUAAAGCGCGUGCAGGCGGGUCGGCAAGUCCUGUGUGUAAUCUCCCGGCUUAACCGGGAAACUGCAUGGGAAACUAUCGAUCUUGCGUGCGAGAGAGGAUGGCGGAAUUCCUGGUGUAGCGGUGAAAUGCGUAGAUAUCAGGAGGAACACCGGUGGCGAAGGCGGCCAUCUGGAUCGACACUGACGCUGAGACGCGAAGGCCGGGGGAGCAAACAGGAUUAGAAACCCCGGUAGUCC